rnacentral:rRNA from 1 species
AUUGAACGCUGGCGGCAGGCCUAACACAUGCAAGUCGAGCGAGCGGCGGACGGGUGAGUAAUGUAUGGGGAUCUGCCUGAUAGAGGGGGAUCACUACUGGAAACGGUAGCUAAUACCGCAUACUAUCGGAUGAACCCAUAUGGGAUUAGCUAGUAGGUGGGGUAAAGGCUCACCUAGGCGACGAUCGCUAGCUGGUCUGAGAGGAUGACCAGCCACACUGUGACUGAGACACGGCCCAGACUCCGACGUGAGGCAGCAGUGGGGAAUAUUGCACAAUGGGCGCAAGCCUGAGGCAGCCAUGCCGCGUGUAUGAAGAAGGCCUUAGGGUUGUAAAGUACUUUCAGCGGGGAGGCGUUACCCGCAGAAGAAGCACCGGCUAACUCCGUGCCAGCAGCCGCGGUAAUUC